rnacentral:rRNA from 1 species
GAUGAACGCUGGCGGCGUGCCUAAUACAUGCAAGUCGAGCGAACGGACGCGAAGCUUUCUUUUCUGAUGUUAGCGGCGGACGGGUGAGUAACACGUGGAUAACCUACCUAUAAGACUGGGAUAACUUCGGGAAACCGGAGCUACUACCGGAUAAUAUUUUGAACCGCAUGGUUCAAAAGUGAAAGACGGUCUUGCUGUCACUUAUAGAUGGAUCCGCGCUGCAUUAGCUAGUUGGUAAGGUAACGGCUUACCAAGGCAACGAUGCAUAGCCGACCUGAGAGGGUGAUCGGCCACACUAGAACGGAGACACGGUCCAGACUCCUACGGGAGGCAGCAGUAGGGAAUCUUCCGCAAUGGGCGAAAGCCUGACGGAGCAACGCCGCGUGAGUGAUGAAGGUCUUCGGAUCGUAAAACUCUGUUAUUAGGGAAGAAGAUAUGUGUAAGUAACUGUGCACAUCUUGACGGUACCUAAUCAGAAAGCCACGGCUAACUACGUG